UCGGUUCACUGACCUGAAGAGAUGCUGGCAAUGUUUCACUGAGCAAAACACAUGAGUGGUCGAGCAGGCGCAAGCAACACACACCAGUGUCGGAUCCCUGCUUCAGUUCUACACCGACACUUGUGAGAUGAAAACAACCUUCAUGUUGCUUAGACAAAUGCGGAGAAGUUACUUCCAACUCUAUUUCUUUAUGCUGGUCAUCUAUAUAGAAAGAAAAAGCACAUUGAAAUGAGAUAACGAAAAAAAAAUUCUAAUCACCUAAAGAUAUUUUGUACAUAAAAAAGAUCAUCUAAGUUUAUCUCUACCAUUAAGCUUCACAUUCAAGGACAAAAAAGACAUUUCUGCUCACUGAUCUGAAGAGCUCCGAAUAAUCUUUUCACUGAGCACAUGAGCGAGCAGCUAAGUCAGGCAAGAUUUUGUGCACUCUUGUGCAGGCUUCUUGCUCCCCUCCUACACUUAAAAUACGUCAAUCCAAAUAGGUUUUUAGGCAACUAAGAUUUCUCUAGG
rnacentral:lncRNA from 1 species